rnacentral:rRNA from 1 species
AUUGAACGCUGGCGGCAGGCCUAACACAUGCAAGUCGAGCGAGCGGCGGACGGGUGAGUAAUGUCUGGGGAUCUGCCUGAUAGAGGGGGAUAACUACUGGAAACGGUAGCUAAUACCGCAUACUAUCGGAUGUGCCCAGAUGGGAUUAGCUGGUAGGUGAGGUAAUGGCUCACCUAGGCGACGAUCCCUAGCUGGUCUGAGAGGAUGACCAGCCACACUGGAACUGAGACACGGUCCAGACUCCUACGGGAGGCAGCAGUGGGGAAUAUUGCACAAUGGGCGCAAGCCUGAUACAGCCAUGCCGCGUGUAUGAAGAAGGCCUUAGGGUUGUAAAGUACUUUCAGCGGGGAGGCGUUACCGACAGAAGAAGCACCGGCUAACUCCGUGCCAGCCGCCGCGGUAAUAC